UACGUAGGGAGCAAGCGUUGUUCGGAAUUACUGGGCGUAAAGAGUGUGUAGGCGGUGCUCCAAGUCUGCUGUGAAAUCUUCCGGCUUAACUGGGAGGGUGCGGCGGAAACUGGAGUGCUAGAGGGUGGGAGAGGAAAGCGGAAUUCCUGGUGUAGCGGUGAAAUGCGUAGAUAUCAGGAGGAACACCUGCGGUGUAGACAGCUUUCUGGGCCACUUCUGACGCUGAGACACGAAAGCGUGGGUAGCAAACAGG
rnacentral:rRNA from 1 species